AGAGUUUGAUCAUGGCUCAGGACGAACGCUGGCGGCGUGCCUAACACAUGCAAGUCGAGCGGGAACCUCAGGAGGGGUAACCCUCUUGAGGGGAGAGCGGCGAACGGGUGAGUAACACGUGGGCAACCUGCCCCGGACACCGGGAUAACCCAGGGAAACCUGAGCUAAUACCGGAUACUCCGGCGUGAUCGCAUGGUCGCGCCGGGAAAGCUCCGACGGUCCGGGAUGGGCCCGCGGCCUAUCAGCUUGUUGGUGGGGUAACGGCCCACCAAGGCGACGACGGGUAGCUGGUCUGAGAGGACGGCCAGCCACACUGGGACUGAGACACGGCCCAGACUCCUACGGGAGGCAGCAGUGGGGGAUCUUGCGCUAAUGCGCGAAAGCGUGACGCAGCGACGCCGCGUGGGGGAUGAAGGCCCUCGGGUUGUAAACCCCUUUCGGCAGGGACGAAGCGAAAGUGACGGUACCUGCAGAAGAAGUCCCGGCUAACUACGUGCCAGCAGCCGCGGUA
rnacentral:rRNA from 1 species